rnacentral:rRNA from 1 species
GUAGGUGGCAAGCGUUGUCCGGAAUUAUUGGGCGUAAAGCGCGCGCAGGUGGUUCUUUAAGUCUGAUGUGAAAGCCCCCGGCUCAACCGGGGAGGGUCAUUGGAAACUGGGGAACUUGAGUGCAGGAGAGGAGAGUGGAAUUCCACGUGUAGCGGUGAAAUGCGUAGAUAUGUGGAGGAACACCAGUGGCGAAGGCGACUUUCUGGCCUGUAACUGACACUGAGGCGCGAAAGCGUGGGGAGCAAACAGGGAUUAGAUACCCUGGUAGUCCACGCCGUAAACGAUGAGUGCUAAGUGUUGGGGGGGUUUCCCGCCCCUCAGUGCUGCAGCUAACGCAUUAAGCACUCCGCCUGGGGAUACGGUCGCAAGACUG